GCUGAUGCUUCUACGGUUUGUUGCCUGUGUUCAUGAUGGAAGGAAGUACUCGAUUUCAGUUAAAGCAGGUGACGAGCCAUAUGCAUGUUGGAAAUGAGAAACCUUUCUGCAGAGGAAGCAGCCACCUGUCUUCCAGCUGUCUGGGACUGUCUGUUGGAGCAAGUGACAUCACAGUGACCAGAAACCACCUCCCCUUUGUCUGGAGCAGUUAUGAUGUCAUUCCCUAUGGCAGAGAACCAGGAUGUCGGCAGCUGGGAUUCCUUUGGGUCCUCCUGAAGUGAUAAUUGCCUUAGAUUUUGUUAUAAA